GGGGAAUAUUGGACAAUGGGCGCAAGCCUGAUCCAGCCAUACCGCGUGGGUGAAGAAGGCCUUCGGGUUGUAAAGCCCUUUUGUUGGGAAAGAAAUCCAGCUGGCUAAUACCCGGUUGGGAUGACGGUACCCAAAGAAUAAGCACCGGCUAAAUUCGUGCCAGCAGCCGCGGUAAUACGAAGGGUGCAAGCGUUACUCGGAAUUACUGGGCGUAAAGCGUGCGUAGGUGGUCGUUUAAGUCCGUUGUGAAAGCCCUGGGCUCAACCUGGGAACUGCAUUCGAAACUGGCAGGCUUGAGUCUCGUAGAGGGGGGUAGAAUUCCAGGUGUAGCGGUGAAAUGCGUAGAGAUCUGGAGGAAUACCGGUGGCGAAGGCGGCCCCCUGGACGAAGACUGACGCUCAGGUGCGAAAGCGUGGGGAGCAAACA
rnacentral:rRNA from 1 species